rnacentral:tRNA from 1 species
AGCCUGCUAGCUCAGUCGGCUAGAGCGUGGUGCUAAUAACGCGAAGGUCGUAGGUUCGAUCCCUGCGCAGGCCA